rnacentral:misc_RNA from 1 species
UUUUCUUAUUGCUUGCGAACCAUUUGAAAAAAAGCCUGGACGAGUACAAGAACUAGAAGAUCCAAAAACUUGUUUAAGGAUCCCAGCAAUCCUUAGCCAUUGUUGGGUUGUUGUAGUUUUUCAAGUUAGUGAUCUCUCUUUCUGUCGUUUUUGAACGCACAAGCGCCACAAGGCACGCAAGGGGCCUAAGAUAUCGGAAAUCUCUUUCAUUCAUGCUUUUUUUGAAUUCGGAAACAAACAAACAAUGAAGCUUGUGCUUGUUCUUCUUCUUCUCUAUAUGCCCUCUUGGAUUUUUCACUUCUGUUUCGUGCAUGCUGUACCUGUACACGACCCUUUUCUUUCCUCUCCAGCUUCCUCUCCUUCUUCUAUAGUUUCUGCUUCCAUGGCUGCCUUCUCUCCAGGAAUUCAAUCCCAAAUGGGAACAGAAGAAGACCACCACAAGAUGAAGUUAGACAAGAAAAUAGCCAUAUUACUUACUGUUGCUUGUGGCAUUCUGGCUAUAAUCGUCCUUGUCUCGUUGUUUGGUUGUUGCAUUUAUUAUUGGAAGUUGUAUCAAAGAAAGAAAAAUGCCCAGUUCUCAGAGGUUGAGAAAGGGGUGUCAGCAACACCAUUCUUGGGUAAAUUUAAUUCAUUGACGAUGGUUAGUAACAGGGGAUCUGUUUCAUUGAUUGAUUAUAAGCUACUGGAAAAGAGUACAAAAAAUUUUGGCGAUGACAAUUUAUUGGGCAAGGGUGGAUUUGGACGAGUUUAUAAAGCUUUGUUGGAAGAUGACAAGCAUGUUGCAGUCAAGAAACUAGACUGUGCAGGUGAAGAUGCCCGGAGAGAAUUUGAGAAUGAGGUGGAUUUGUUAAGCAAAAUUCAUCACCCAAAUAUCAUUUCUCUUCUGGGUUACUGUGUUCAUGAGGACAUGGGGUUUAUUGUUUACGAAUUGAUGCAAAAUGGGUCCCUUGAAGAUCUAUUGCAUGGACCUUCUCGUGGAUCUUCAUUAAGUUAGCAUAUAAGGUUGGAAAAUUGCUCUUUAAACAGCAAGUUUAUAGGAGCUUCUCGUGGAUCUU